rnacentral:rRNA from 1 species
GAACGCUAGCUACAGGCUUAACACAUGCAAGUCGAGGGGCAGCAUCAUCAAAGCUUGCUUUGAUGGAUGGCGACCGGCGCACGGGUGAGUAACACGUAUCCAACCUGCCGACAACACUGGGAUAGCCUUUCGAAAGAAAGAUUAAUACCGGAUGGUAUAGUUUUCCCGCAUGGGAUAAUUAUUAAAGAAUUUCGGUUGUCGAUGGGGAUGCGUUCCAUUAGGCAGUUGGCGGGGUAACGGCCCACCAAACCUACGAUGGAUAGGGGUUCUGAGAGGAAGGUCCCCCACAUUGGAACUGAGACACGGUCCAAACUCCUACGGGAGGCAGCAGUGAGGAAUAUUGGUCAAUGGACGAGAGUCUGAACCAGCCAAGUAGCGUGAAGGAUGACUGCCCUAUGGGUUGUAAACUUCUUUUAUACGGGAAUAAAGUUAGCCACGUGUGGUUUUUUUGUAUGUACCGUAUGAAUAAGGAUCGGCUAACUCCGUGCCAGCAGCCGCGGUAAUACGGAGGAUCCGAGCGUUAUCCGGAUUUAUUGGGUUUAAAGGGAGCGUAGGCGGGUUGUUAAGUCAGUUGUGAAAGUUUGCGGCUCAACCGUAAAAUUGCAGUUGAUACUGGCGACCUUGAGUGCAACAGAGGUAGGCGGAAUUCGUGGUGUAGCGGUGAAAUGCUUAGAUAUCACGAAGAACUCCGAUUGCGAAGGCAGCUUACUGGAUUGUAACUGACGCUGAUGCUCGAAAGUGUGGGUAUCAAACAGGAUUAGAUACCCUGGUAGUCCACACAGUAAACGAUGAAUACUCGCUGUUGGCGAUAUACAGUCAGCGGCCAAGCGAAAGCAUUAAGUAUUCCACCUGGGGAGUACGCCGGCAACGGUGAAACUCAAAGGAAUUGACGGGGGCCCGCACAAGCGGAGGAACAUGUGGUUUAAUUCGAUGAUACGCGAGGAACCUUACCCGGGCUUAAAUUGCAACUGACGGAACCGGAAACGGUUCUUUCUUCGGACAGUUGUGAAGGUGCUGCAUGGUUGUCGUCAGCUCGUGCCGUGAGGUGUCGGCUUAAGUGCCAUAACGAGCGCAACCCUUACGGGUAGUUACCAUCAGGUUAUGCUGGGGACUCUACCCGGACUGCCGUCGUAAGAUGUGAGGAAGGUGGGGAUGACGUCAAAUCAGCACGGCCCUUACGUCCGGGGCUACACACGUGUUACAAUGGGGGGUACAGAAGGCAGCUACACGGCGACGUGGUGCUAAUCCCAAAAGCCUCUCUCAGUUCGGAUUGGAGUCUGCGACCCGACUCCAUGAAGCUGGAUUCGCUAGUAAUCGCGCAUCAGCCACGGCGCGGUGAAUACGUUCCCGGGCCUUGUACACACCGCCCGUCAAGCCAUGAAAGCCGGGGGUACCUGAAGUACGUAACCGCGAGGAGCGUCCUAGGGUAAAACUGGUA